rnacentral:rRNA from 1 species
AUUGAACGCUGGCGGCAUGCCUUACACAUGCAAGUCGAACGGCAGCGGGGGAGAAGCUUGCUUUUCCUGCCGGCGAGUGGCGAACGGGUGAGUAAUACAUCGGAACGUGCCCUGUAGUGGGGGAUAACUAGUCGAAAGAUUAGCUAAUACCGCAUACGACCUGAGGGUGAAAGUGGGGGACCGCAAGGCCUCAUGCUAUAGGAGCGGCCGAUGUCUGAUUAGCUAGUUGGUGGGGUAAAGGCCUACCAAGGCGACGAUCAGUAGCUGGUCUGAGAGGACGAUCAGCCACACUGGGACUGAGACACGGCCCAGACUCCUACGGGAGGCAGCAGUGGGGAAUUUUGGACAAUGGGCGAAAGCCUGAUCCAGCAAUGCCGCGUGUGUGAAGAGGGCCUUCGUGUUGUAAAGCACUUUUGUCCGGAAAGAAAUGGCUCUGGGUAAUACCUGGGGUCGAUGACGGUACCGGAAGAAUAAGGACCGGCUAACUACGUGCCAGCCGCCGCCGUAAAAC